AAUCAAUCUCAACUUUAACACUUUGUGUUUAAGUUGGAUCUGGAGGUUUGCCGUCGAACUAUUCACGGCUCCUCCUAAAUAUAUUAGCUGCUUGGUGAUUACAUCGUUAGCUUGAUAUUAUGUCUAUGCUACGGCUGAAUGAAUCCAGUGCUUCUAAUCGUCUUCGGACAAAUAUUCUGAG
rnacentral:misc_RNA from 1 species